UAUGAUCCAGAGUCCCACGGGACACGUGAAACCCUGUGGGAAGCAGGAGGGACCACCCUCCAAGGCUAAAUACUACCUAGUGACCGAUAGCGUAUAGUACCGUGAGGGAAAGGUGAAAAGAACCCCGGGAGGGGAGUGAAAUAGAACCUGAAACCCUGCACUUACAAGCUGUGGAAGCACAUUUCUUGUGUGACCGCGUACUUUUUGUAGAACGGGCCAACGAGUUACGUUAAGUAGCAAGGUUAAGCACUUAAGGUGCGGAGCCGUAGCGAAAGCGAGUUUUAACUGAGCGUUCAGUUACUUGACGUAGACCCGAAACCGGGCGACCUACCCAUGAGCAGGAUGAAGCGAAAGUAAAAUUUCGUGGAGGUCCGAACCCACGAGCGUUGAAAAGCUCGGGGAUGACUUGUGGGUAGCGGUGAAAUUCCAAUCGAGCCCGGAGAUAGCUGGUUCUCCCCGAAAUAGCUUUAGGGCUAGCCUCAAGGUGAGAGAUACGGAGGUAGAGCACUGAAUGUCCUAGGGGGUAUUGCACCUACCGAAGACUAUCAAACUCCGAAUGCCGUCAUCUUAUACUUGGGAGUCAGACUGUGGGUGAUAAGAUUCAUAGUCGAAAGGGCAACAGCCCAGAUCGUCAGCUAAGGUCCCUAAAUGUAAGUUAAGUGGUAAAGGAUGUGGGAUUGCACAGACAACCAGGAUGUUGGCUUAGAAGCAGCCACUCAUUCAAAGAGUGCGUAAUAGCUCACUGGUCGAGUGAUCCUGCGCCGAAGAUUUCCGGGGCUAAAACUUACUACCGAAGCUACGGCAUCAGUAAUGAUGGGUAGGGGAGCUUCCCAUACGGGUUGAAGCAUGACCGUAAGGACAUGUGGACAGUAUGGGAGUGAGAAUGUUGGCAUGAGUAGCGAGAUGUGGGUGAGAAUCCCACAGGCCGUAAACCCAAGGUUUCCAGGGGAAGGUUCGUCCGCCCUGGGUUAGUCGGGACCUAAGCUGAGGCCGAAAGGCGUAGGUGAUGGACAACAGGUUGAUAUUCCUGUACUACCGAUAACCGUUUGAGAGAAGGGAUGACACAGUAGGAUAAGCUAAGCACACUGUUGGUUAUGUGUGCCCAAGCAUUGAGGCAGUCAAAGUAGGCAAAU
rnacentral:rRNA from 1 species